AAUGAAAUAAAGAACUUGUGGUUUUCUUUUGAGAUGAAAAUAGUUUUCUACCCCUCGUGGUAGCAUGUUUUAAAAGAAAAGGGUUUCCGUGUGGGAAACGGUUUUAAAAAGGUUUUUCAUAGUUUCAUGAUUCUUAGUGUUUCAAAAUGAAUUUUCGGGUAAGAAAUAUUUUAAACUAAUAGAUGUGGAUUUAUGUACAUUUAUGAUAAAACGAAUGUGAAUGUGAAUGGUGAAUAAAUAUGGAUGUUCAUAAGUAUGUGGUUGUAUCUUAUAUUUGUGCGACGCCAUGCAAAUAUAGGGGAGACUCUGUCCGUGUGAACAGUGAACUCCUUAUAUUUGUGGUGGAUCUAGC
rnacentral:lncRNA from 1 species